rnacentral:rRNA from 1 species
CGGUAAUUCCAGCUCCAAUAGCGUAUAUUAAAGUUGUUGUGGUUAAAAAGCUCGUAGUCGAACCUUGGGCCUGGCUGGCCGGUCCCCCUCACCGGGUGCACUGAUCCAGCCGGGCCUUUCCCUCUGCGGAACCCCAUGGCCUUCACUGGCUGUGCGGGGGAAACAGGACUUUUACUGUGAAAAAAUUAGAGUGCUCCAGGCAGGCCUAUGCUCGAAUACAUUAGCAUGGAAUAAUAGAAUAGGACGUGUGGUUCUAUUUUGUUGGUUUCUAGGACCGCCGUAAUGAUUAAUAGGGACAGUCGGGGGCAUCAGUAUUCAGUUGUCAGAGGUGAAAUUCUUGGAUCUACUGAAGACUAACUACUGCGAAAGCAUUUGCCAAGGAUGUUUUCAUUGAUAAGGAACGAAAGUUAGGGGAUCGAAGACGAUCAGAUACCGUCGUAGUCUUAACUAUAAACUAUGCCGACUAGGGAUCGGACGAUGUUAUUAUUUGACGCGUUCGGCACCUUUCGAGAAAUCAAAGUGCUUGGGCUCCAGGGGGAGUAUGGUCGCAAGGCUGAAACUUAAAGAAAUUGACGGAAGGGCACCACCAGGGGUGGAACCUGCGGCUUAAUUUGACUCAACACGGGGAAACUCACCAGGUCCAGACACAGUGAGGAUUGACAGAUUGAGAGCUCUUUCUUGAUUCUGUGGGUGGUGGUGCAUGGCCGUUCUUAGUUGGUGGAGUGAUUUGUCUGCUUAAUUGCGAUAACGAACGAGACCUUAACCUGCUAAAUAGCCCGUACUGCUCUGGCAGUUCGCUGGCUUCUUAGAGGGACUAUCGGCUCAAGCCGAUGGAAGUUUGAGGCAAUAACAGGUCUGUGAUGCCCUUAGAUGUCCUGGGCC